rnacentral:rRNA from 1 species
UGUCGUCAGCUCGUGUCGUGAGAUGUUGGGUUAAGUCCCGCAACGAGCGCAACCCCUAUYCUUAGUAGCCAGCAYGUKAAGRUGGSCACUCURAGRAGACUGCCRGGGAUAACCUGGAGGAAGGCGGGGAYGACGUCAAAUCAUCAURCCCCUUAUGAUUUGGGCUACACACGUGCUACAAUGGCGUAAACAAAGGGAAGCA